rnacentral:rRNA from 1 species
UACGUAGGGGGCAAGCGUUGUCCGGAAUUAUUGGGCGUAAAGAGCGCGUAGGCGGUCCGGUAAGUCAGCUGUGAAAGUCAAGGGCUCAACCCUCGAAUGCCGGUGGAUACUGUCGGGCUUGAGUACGGGAGAGGCGAGUGGAAUUCCUGGUGUAGCGGUGAAGUGCGCAGAUAUCAGGAGGAACACCGAUUGCGAAGGCAGCUCGCUGGAACGUUACUGACGCUGAGACGCGAAAGCGUGGGGAGCAAACAGG